AUUGAACGCUGGCGGCAGGCCUAACACAUGCAAGUCGAGCGGAUGAAGGGAGCUUGCUCCUGGAUUCAGCGGCGGACGGGUGAGUAAUGCCUAGGAAUCUGCCUGGUAGUGGGGGAUAACGUCAGGAAACGGGCGCUAAUACCGCAUACGUCAUGAGGGAGAAAGUGGGGGAUCUUCGGACAUCACGCUAUCAGAUGAGCCUAGGUCGGAUUAGCUAGUUGGUGGGGUAAAGGCCUACCAAGGCGACGAUCCGUAACUGGUCUGAGAGGAUGAUCAGUCACACUGGAACUGAGACACGGUCCAGACUCCUACGGGAGGCAGCAGUGGGGAAUAUUGGACAAUGGGCGAAAGCCUGAUCGAGCCAUGCCGCGUGUGUGAAGAAGGUCUUCGGAUUGUAAAGCACUUUUAGUUGGGAGGAAGGUAAGUAAGUUAAUACCUUGCUGUUUUGACGGUACCAACAGAAUAAGCACCGGCUAACUUCGUG
rnacentral:rRNA from 1 species